CAGCCCGUGCGGCCCCAGACGCGGCCGGAGCUGGUGCCGGCCGGCACGUUGAUCGUCCACGUCCCGCCUGAGUUCAGCUGCGUGCCCCCGCCGACUGGGGUCGCCGCCGGCCACACCGUGAACCCGCAGUUGUUCUUGAUGGUGAAGGUCGCCGCGUGAGUGCCGCUGGCCAUCAAGGUGGCGGCGAGGAAAAGCAGGAGGAUCGAGGACGAUGAGGCGGCCAUAUAUUGAUGCUAAUACUAUGCGA
rnacentral:lncRNA from 1 species